AGAUUCACGAUUCCCUCAUCAGUAAAUUCAUCAAUUUCGCUUAGAAGAUUUUGGGCAUUUAAGGUUUCAUUUUCAACCUCGCAGAAUCGCAGUCGUCGUCGCCGACUCGCCACCCAUCACUCGCUCGCUGCUUCACGAAUCAUGCAGAGAGCCUUGUGACAACCCUCGCGGUCUCUCCCUACCUUCGCCAGUUCGCACAUCGCUCGCUCGCCCUUCAGUUCUGUGACUCUGUCUGUUCUCUGUAGACUCUGUACACACUACACAGCCUCAAUCAACAUUGCCAGGGGCCCAGCGCCCGGCAGUCCCCUGUUCUCUCUCCUUGCGAAAGCCUAGCCUUGAAGACGACGCGCCGAAGUGCCGACUGCCGAACCAGUUCCUUCGCAAACCACAUGACCAAUUGAAAGUUGCUCAAGCUUCAGAUAUAGAAAAGCUACAUGCUAGUGGAGAGCUCAAAACUAGUAAGGGAUUGAAUCAAGUUGGCACUCUUAAAAGUCUUGGUGAUAUUCGAUAGACUUUCUCACUUGACUUCUAUUCGCAACUUGAUAAAUAUGUUUGCAACCACUUGUUCUAUCUUGAAAAAUACAACUCCAGAAAGGGUUUCUUUUUCCUUAAAAAAGUGAUGCAGAUACAACUUAUAACAGACUCACUCCUUUUGAGUUUGUGUUAAUCCUUCAUAGACGAGAGUUUUAAACAUCACUGAUGAUCUUUGUCACGUAUUGAAACUCAAAUCUCAAGAUAUAGUGAAUGCAAUGCAUUAGUAUCAACAAUCAAAAGUCUCAUUCAAAUGCUUUGAGAAGAUGAUUUAAAACAUCUAAAAUAAAUCUUACGUAAUAUCUCAAAUUUUAGAUCAAAUUUUAAAAUAUCUAAAAUAAAUCUUAUAAGUGUAAUUUAAUAUGAUUUUGGUUGAAUUUAUCUUUUAAAAAUAUUUUUUGUAUUGCUUUUAAAAUAUCGAGAUUUUUUUGUCAUAUACUAUUUUACGUUUUUUCUAUACUUUUAAUAUAUUAUUAUAGUAUAAGUAAAUGAUGUUAGUUUUGCUUAUGUUUUAAUUAAGUGAAAAUUUUUCUUUAAGUGCAAACAUUAAUUUUAGGAACUCUUAAAUGUAAUUUAAUUUUGUUUUGAUUGAAUUUACUUUAUAUAUAUAUAUAUAUGUAUAUUAUAUAAAUUUAUUUCUUUAAAGAGUAUCUGGUCUUAAUUUUAAACAAUAUGAAUAUUUUGUCAAUAAAAUGAUUUACACUAUAUAUACUUCUAUAUAUAGUAUAAAAUAAAAAAUUUUUAGGAGUGUGGCUUUAUAGAAGUUUACUUUUAAAAAUAAAGAUACUUUUUUCGGCAAAUUGAUUACAAUUACAUCUUUAGGAGCUUUUAGUCUUUCUUUAAAAAGAUAAGAAUAUUUUCAUUCACAAAAUGAUUUUCACUAUUUGUACUUUUAUUUGUAGUAUAGAUUAAUGAAAAAAUCAAAUUAAUCUAAGUACAUUUUGCCAAAUGUAUAUAUAUUUUAUCUAUAUAUAUUAUAUAUAUAUAUAUAUUUAUUUAUUUAUUUUUACAUCAACUAUUGGAACAAAUUUUCACUAGUUAUUUUUGUAAAAACACUAUUUAAAAAUAAGUCCCUUAGCCAAGGAGUUUGAACAUGGCAUAUAAAAUUAGGUAUCUUUGACCUAGCAAUAUAAUCACAAUAUAUAGCUUAGGCUUUGGUAACAUCAUUGGGGUACUUUGACCCCUCCAUUGAAAUUGUGCUAGGCAUACUUGUACGAGAUCAAAAUUUUUACACGAUACAAUUUUAGCGGAGGGGACACAGUAUCCCUGUGGUGUGCAAUCUUUAUCUAGUGGCAUUUUCAAACGGAUACUAGUCAUGGUUGGUAUUAGAGGUUUCAUAGAUACUUUUAUGUGUGUCAUUUCUUGAGAUGUGGUUGUGCAAUUAUUCAUUUCAUCCUUUAAUGAGUCCAUCCCUAUACCUUUAUAUGGCUCGACCAAAAUUGAAUUUUUUUUUUCUUCAUUAUAUGGCUUUAAACUAAGAACAUCUAAUAGGUCUAUUAGGGAAGAAGAAUGCUAUCAAGUCCAUCCUUAUGGGAUUGGAGAUCGACUGCCCAAGUGGUAUAAUCCUAAUGAAAGGUGUGAGUUCCAUAUGGGAACCCCUAGUCACUCCACAUAAAGGUGUUGGCAAUUGAAGAAAAGGGUAUGACAACUCCAAGACGCAAGUUUAAUUGAGUUUGUGGGAUUCAUAGAUGAUGAGAACCUGUUGAUGCAAUGCCCAAUAGAGUUUCAGAAGAAGUUUUGUUUCAAUCUUUGUUUUCCUAUCUGUCCAUGUUUCAAUUAAAUAUAUGUAUGCCUCAUUUCCUUUGUCUUCAUUUAAUGAAAGUCUUUUCCAAAUAAA